rnacentral:lncRNA from 1 species
GGAACGGAGCCGGGGAGUCGAGGAUUGAAGAACCCGGGGAACAGGGAACACCAGCUUGAAUUUCCUCAGCGGAUUCCCGAAGUCUCCGCCCGUGGACAUUGUGGAACUAGAGGAGCGGCCGCCGCCUCAGCCUAGAGACCUCCCGGACCGAUGCUGCUCCAGCCAGCUGACGAAAAAGGCGAGCGGAAGGGCGGGCACCGAGCUCUCUCGGCCCCUGCAAGGCCCGGUGGAGGAGCCCGGCUGGAGGGCAGCAGGACUCUCCACAGACUGGCAGCCGCCGCCGCCUCCCGGCAGAGUAGCCUAGCACCGAGCGAGGCCCGCGGCUGGGAAGGGAAGGAGGGCGGUGUCGGCAGGAGCCAGGGGUGUCCUCUGGCUUCCCAAAGCUAGGGCCGUUCCCUCCUUCCGCACUCGGCUCCCAGACCUGGGGAAGAGAAGCUGAGGGUGGCGGAGCCGGAACCGCAGACGUAUCUGGGACCUCUCACGCGCAGCGCCUGAGCUUCCACAGCUG